GACGAACGCUGGCGGCGUGCUUAACACAUGCAAGUCGAGCGGUAAGGCCCUUUCGGGGGUACGACGAGCGGCGAACGGGUGAGUAACACGUGGGUGACCUGCCCUUAGCUCUGGGAUAAGCCUGGGAAACGUGGGUCUAAUACCGGAUAUGACUCCAUGACGCAUGUUGUGGGGUGGAAAGCCUUGUGCGGCUAGGGAUGGGCCCGCGGCCUAUCAGCUUGUUGGUGGGGUGAAGGCCUACCAAGGCGACGACGGGUAGCCGGCCUGAGAGGGCGACCGGCCACACUGGGACUGAGACACGGCCCAGACUCCUACGGGCGGCAGCAGUGGGGAAUCUUGCGCAAUGGGCGAAAGCCUGACGCAGCGACGCC
rnacentral:rRNA from 1 species